rnacentral:rRNA from 1 species
AACGAACGCUGGCGGCAGGCCUAACACAUGCAAGUCGAGCGCCCACUUCGGUGGGAGCGGCGGACGGGUGAGUAAUGCGUGGGAAUAUGCCCUUUGGUACGGAAUAGCCCUUGGAAACGAGGAGUAAUACCGUAUGUGCCCUACGGGGGAAAGAUUUAUCGCCAAAGGAUUAGCCCACGUUGGAUUAGCUAGUUGGUGAGGUAAGAGCUCACCAAGGCGACGAUCUAUAGCUGGUUUGAGAGGAUGAUCAGCCACACUGGGACUGAGACACGGCCCAGACUCCUACGGGAGGCAUCAGUGGGGAAUAUUAGACAAUGGGCGAAAGCCUGAUCUAGCCAUGCCGCGUGAGUGAAGAAGGCCCUAGGGUUGUAAAGCUCUUUCAGAUGUGAGGAUGAUGACAGUAGCAUCAGAAGAAGCCCCGGCUAACUUCG